rnacentral:tRNA from 1 species
UCCCAUGUGGCUCAGCUGGUAGAGCAUUGCAACGAUAGGGUUGUGGGUUCAAUUCCCACGUGGGAC